UCAGAUUGAACGCUGGCGGCAGGCCUAACACAUGCAAGUCGAGCGGUAGCACAGAGAGCUUGCUCUCGGGUGACGAGCGGCGGACGGGUGAGUAAUGUCUGGGAAACUGCCUGAUGGAGGGGGAUAACUACUGGAAACGGUAGCUAAUACCGCAUAACGUCGCAAGACCAAAGUGGGGGACCUUCGGGCCUCAUGCCAUCAGAUGUGCCCAGAUGGGAUUAGCUGGUAGGUGGGGUAACGGCUCACCUAGGCGACGAUCCCUAGCUGGUCUGAGAGGAUGACCAGCCACACUGGAACUGAGACACGGUCCAGACUCCUACGGGAGGCAGCAGUGGGGAAUAUUGCACAAUGGGCGCAAGCCUGAUGCAGCCAUGCCGCGUGUGUGAAGAAGGCCUUCGGGUUGUAAAGCACUUUCAGCGGGGAGGAAGGCGGUGAGGUUAAUAACCUCAUCGAUUGACGUUACCCGCAGAAGAAGCACCGGCUAACUCCGUGCCAGCAGCCGCGGUAAUACGGAGGGUGCAAGCGUUAAUCGGAAUUACUGGGCGUAAAGCGCACGCAGGCGGUCUGUCAAGUCGGAUGUGAAAUCCCCGGGCUCAACCUGGGAACUGCAUUCGAAACUGGCAGGCUAGAGUCUUGUAGAGGGGGGUAGAAUUCCAGGUGUAGCGGUGAAAUGCGUAGAGAUCUGGAGGAAUACCGGUGGCGAAGGCGGCCCCCUGGACAAAGACUGACGCUCAGGUGCGAAAGCGUGGGGAGCAAACAGGAUUAGAUACCCUGGUAGUCCACGCUGUAAACGAUGUCGAUUUGGAGGUUGUGCCCUUGAGGCGUGGCUUCCGGAGCUAACGCGUUAAAUCGACCGCCUGGGGAGUACGGCCGCAAGGUUAAAACUCAAAUGAAUUGACGGGGGCCCGCACAAGCGGUGGAGCAUGUGGUUUAAUUCGAUGCAACGCGAAGAACCUUACCUGGUCUUGACAUCCACAGAACUUWSCAGAGAUGSWUUGGUGCCUUCGGGAACUGUGAGACAGGUGCUGCAUGGCUGUCGUCAGCUCGUGUUGUGAAAUGUUGGGUUAAGUCCCGCAACGAGCGCAACCCUUAUCCUUUGUUGCCAGCGGUUAGGCCGGGAACUCAAAGGAGACUGCCAGUGAUAAACUGGAGGAAGGUGGGGAUGACGUCAAGUCAUCAUGGCCCUUACGACCAGGGCUACACACGUGCUACAAUGGCAUAUACAAAGAGAAGCGACCUCGCGAGAGCAAGCGGACCUCAUAAAGUAUGUCGUAGUCCGGAUUGGAGUCUGCAACUCGACUCCAUGAAGUCGGAAUCGCUAGUAAUCGUAGAUCAGAAUGCUACGGUGAAUACGUUCCCGGGCCUUGUACACACCGCCCGUCACACCAUGGGAGUGGGUUGCAAAAGAAGUAGGUAGCUUAACCUUCGGGAGGGCGCUUACCACUUUGUGAUUCAUGACUGGGGUGAAGUCGU
rnacentral:rRNA from 2 species